AAACAACUCUUUUUAAGCAUCCUGGGACAGAUUCUAAACAUUUCAUGUCUAGCAAUCUUUAAACACAUCCUCAGGUUAUCAAUCACAUCAUAACAUCACAGCCUGUUUAAUACAUUAUUCAGUUCACAUACACAAGCUUUAAACAAGAGAAAGAGGUUUCUUACAGCCAAGGAACUAGUGUUAGUUCCUUGAAACUCCAUAGAACAUGGCAAGACAGUGAGCUGUUGGUGUCAACCCCAACUUCUCCUUCUUCCAAGGACCUUUCUCUUGAACUCUCUCCAUGUCAAAGACCCCACCUUUCUUCAUGUUACACUCGCCACACCAGUACCAGAUGAAAGCUAUCACCUUUCUUCUUGGACAGUGAAUAAGAAACAGCUUGGAUAAAGCUUUGAAGAUUGGUUGAUCAGACCACUUCCUGCCUUGUUUCCAAGAGCCUUCUUUCUUCAUGGGCGUCAUGAGAGGGUGAGAAACGACCACAUACAGCUUCUGGACACCAGGGAUGAACCCAUCUUCCACUUGAGAUGUUGAACAGCCGGCUGGAUCAUCUAAGCUUCUUCUUGGUUUCAAAACGACAUGAGAGGAGCUUGUGAGCUUUGCGGAAGCUAAGAACCAGAUUCAGAUGAACCUGGCUCUGAUACCAUAUGAGAUUUUCAGAGAUCUCAGGCUGUGUGUUUGUGUGAAUCCCAAAAGGGCAGAGAGAGAGUUUGUAGGCGAUUUAGAGAGAGAUAGAUUUGUGGAAGUGUUUGUGAGUGAUUAAGUGUUUACUCAGAUCAGAAACAAAAGACUUUGAGAGAUUAGAAGAUUAGAGACUAAGAAAGGGAGAGAUUAAGGGAUUCUGAUCCAAGAACACUUUUCUAUUAUGAAGGAGAAGGGGAAAUCCCCCUAACUCUCUUAAGAGUUACAAAUUGCCUCAUACAUCUGUUUAUAUAGGCUUUUACAAUCUGAGACAUCAUAAACCUAUAUCUAAUGGCUGUAAAUAACUUAAGAGGAAUGGAUAGUGUAGAUGAGCUGGUCUUGUUGCAAUCUGAGUAGUUAAAGCUGAUUGGUUAAGAGGAGAUGAAGCCUGAUUGGUUUAAUUCAAAAUGGGGAAGGCUGGAUGAUGAUUGGCUUUCCUUAGGCUCCUCCUAAUCUGUCCACAGAUCAGUCCAGGUUCAUGGUCGUGGCUCUCCUUGUCUUUACAGCCAAGGCCAGCCUGUCCCAAGACUAAAGUAGCCAAUCACACUGCAAUGGCAUCUUCUUGAUUCUCCUUUGAUGCCAUCUGAUCAGAACCUUAUCCACAAGACUAGGACCACUUUAAUAACUCCCAAACCUUGCCCAGACAUUACACAAGCUUUCCCGGGACGUCAGCCUCACCCUAUUUUUGCACCAACUCCAGAACUUCUCAAAUGGCCGAGUUAUGCAAAUCUGGGUCGCCCUGGUCCGUACGGAUCCGUACUGUCUGUACACGUCCGUACUGCCUCACCCUAUCUUUGCACACUCGCCCAUUU
rnacentral:lncRNA from 1 species